AGUGGCGGACGGGUGAGUAACGCGUGGGUAACCUGCCUCACACUGGGGGACAACAGUUAGAAAUGACUGCUAAUACCGCAUAAGCGCACAGGACCGCAUGGUCCGGUGUGAAAAACUCCGGUGGUAUGAGAUGGACCCGCGUCUGAUUAGGUAGUUGGUGGGGUAACGGCUUACCAAGCCGACGAUCAGUAGCCGACCUGAGAGGGUGACCGGCCACAUUGGGACUGAGACACGGCCCAA
rnacentral:rRNA from 1 species